CCAGACAGCCAGGAUGUUGGCUUAGAAGCAGCCAUCAUUUAAAGAAAGCGUAAUAGCUCACUGGUCGAGUCGGCCUGCGCGGAAGAUGUAACGGGGCUAAACCAUGCACCGAAGCUGCGGCAGCGACGCUUAUGCGUUGUUGGGUAGGGGAGCGUUCUGUAAGCCUGUGAAGGUGUGCUGUGAGGCAUGCUGGAGGUAUCAGAAGUGCGAAUGCUGACAUAAGUAACGAUAAAGCGGGUGAAAAGCCCGCUCGCCGGAAGACCAAGGGUUCCUGUCCAACGUUAAUCGGGGCAGGGUGAGUCGACCCCUAAGGCGAGGCCGAAAGGCGUAGUCGAUGGGAAACAGGUUAAUAUUCCUGUACUUGGUGUUACUGCGAAGGGGGGACGGAGAAGGCUAUGUUGGCCGGGCGACGGUUGUCCCGGUUUAAGCGUGUAGGCUGGUUUUCCAGGCAAAUCCGGAAAACCAAGGCUGAGGCGUGAUGACGAGGCACUACGGUGCUGAAGCAACAAAUGCCCUGCUUCCAGGAAAAGCCUCUAAGCAUCAGGUAACAUCAAAUCGUACCCCAAACCGACACAGGUGGUCAGGUAGAGAAUACCAAGGCGCUUGAGAGAACUCGGGUGAAGGAACUAGGCAAAAUGGUGCCGUAACUUCGGGAGAAGGCACGCUGAUAUGUAGGUGAAGCGACUAGCUCGUGGAGCUGAAAUCAGUCGAAGAUACCAGCUGGCUGCAACUGUUUAUUAAAAACACAGCACUGUGCAAACACGAAAGUGGACGUAUACGGUGUGACGCCUGCCCGGUGCCGGAAGGUUAAUUGAUGGGGUUAGCGGUAACGCGAAGCUCUUGAUCGAAGCCCCGGUAAACGGCGGCCGUAACUAUAACGGUCCUAAGGUAGCGAAAUUCCUUGUCGGGUAAGUUCCGACCUGCACGAAUGGCGUAAUGAUGGCCAGGCUGUCUCCACCCGAGACUCAGUGAAAUUGAACUCGCUGUGAAGAUGCAGUGUACCCGCGGCAAGACGGAAAGACCCCGUGAACCUUUACUAUAGCUUGACACUGAACAUUGAGCCUUGAUGUGUAGGAUAGGUGGGAGGCUUUGAAGUGUGGACGCCAGUCUGCAUGGAGCCGACCUUGAAAUACCACCCUUUAAUGUUUGAUGUUCUAACGUGGGCCCCUAAUCGGGGUUGCGGACAGUGUCUGGUGGGUAGUUUGACUGGGGCGGUCUCCUCCUAAAGAGUAACGGAGGAGCACGAAGGUUGGCUAAUCCUGGUCGGACAUCAGGAGGUUAGUGCAAUGGCAUAAGCCAGC
rnacentral:rRNA from 1 species